rnacentral:rRNA from 1 species
GAUGAACGCUGGCGGCGUGCCUAAUACAUGCAAGUCGAGCGAAUGGAUUAAGAGCUUGCUUUUAUGAAGUUAGCGGCGGACGGGUGAGUAACACGUGGGUAACCUGCCCAUAAGACUGGGAUAACUCCGGGAAACCGGGGCUAAUACCGGAUAACAUUUUGAACCGCAUGGUUCGAAAUUGAAAGGCGCCUUCGGCUGUCACUUAUGGAUGGAUCCGCGUCGCAGUAGCUAGUUGGUGAGGUAACGGCUCACCAAGGCAACGAUGCGUAGCCGACCUGGGAGGGUGAUCGGCCACACUGGGACUGAGACACGGCCCAGACUCCUACGGGAGGCAGCAGUAGGGAAUCUUCCGCAAUGGACGAAAGUCUGACGGAGCAACGCCGCGUGAGUGAUGAAGGCUUUCGGGUCGUAAAACUCUGUUGUUAGGGAAGAACAAGUGCUAGUUGAAUAAGCUGGCACCUUGACGGUACCUAACCAGAAAGCCACGGCUAACUACGUGCCAGCCGCCGCAGUAA